GUCAACAUUCCAUUUCUGCAAGGCUUUUUUUCGAAAUGUGUUAAUUUUGCCCUAUAAAUACGUCUACCAAGAGAGCCCUUUAAUUAGGAAACCAAAAACGAAUGGAAAUACUACACACCCAUCUCAACCAGCUAUUCAAUUUUCAUGAAAGGUCAUAUAUCAGUAUACCUACAACUUACAUUUCAAUGUGUUAUACACAGCCAAACAGUAAAUUUGAAAAUUUUAAAUUUAUUAAAGUGACGGAAGAAUAUAUCUCGCUGGCGGAUUAAUCAUCAUUAUCAUUUAAAGAUGACGGGCCCUCAAACAAUUGUACUCUAUGGCUUGAUUGGCAUUCUGGUCCUCGUUAUUGUGAUUAUAUCUAUGGUUUUAAUCGUUGGAUUAUAUAUUCACGAUCCAAAUCGUACAAAUGCGACGACGACUGAAGAAACCUGGAAAUCCACUUAAUGGAGGCAGAGAAAGUCUAUUGUUUGCAUUUGUACAAUACUUGGCAUAACUAAUAAAAUUUGGUUAAAUUGUUAUUAAAA